GCCCUGCUGGCGCAAUGGUAGCGCGCAAGACUUCUAAUCAAAAAAGUAACACUGAUAUGAUAUCUUGAGGUUGCGAGUUCGAGCCUCGCGUAGGGUU